rnacentral:lncRNA from 10 species
GAGGUGCCACUGUUAAUCAGACCUGCUAAGCCAGGCAACCACGCAAAGGUGUUGACAGACAUCUUGCUGAGGUCAGUGAAGAACAAAGCUCUACUUGUUUUUAAAAGCUGUCUUUAUUUUAAAAUUUGUCCUUAAGAAGCAACCAGACGGGAUUCAUUCUUCUUAAAGUGGACUUUUGUUCUUGAGCAGGCAUGCCAAACAGUCUCCGAGGAUACACAGAAACAAAUGGGCGUGCAAAGCUUUGGCUGUUGGACAAACCUGUUGCUCCACUUGGGCUGACGAGGAAGAAUAUUCCUGAGCAAGACACAGGGUUUUCACCCUGAUAGAUGGAAUCUGAGCUACCUUCAAACUUUUAAGGGGGGACUAUGGUGACCGCCAGGAGAGGAGUCCCAGUUGAGCCAUAUGGACCAGGGAUGGCGGACAGGAAAGUUUGUCAGUGGGGCUGAUGCACAGAUGGGGUGCACGAGCUCCUCACUGGGGAAAUUUUGUGGGGGAAGGAUGCCCUCAUAGCUCAAACGUUCAGCUCACUCAAGAGUGGGCCAGAGCUAACAGCUAUCACUGUACUCACAGCUCCCAGGCCUUACUGAUCCAAUGGUCUCUUCAGAGAUUUAUGGCUCAGCUCCCAGGAACAAAGAUGAUUUUAUGUAAAUAUUUAUGAAAUUCCUCCCUCUUUCCUUUCCCUCCUGCCUCUCUCUCUCUUCCCUCCCUCCCUCCCUUCCUUUCUUCUUUCCUUCCUUCACUCCUUUUUGCCUGCCUGCCUGCCUUUCUCUUUUUUUCUUUCUUUAGAAAGAGGGAUUUAUAAUUCUUUUCCAAGUAAUGUGGGGACCAUACCAUGAAGAAGACAUUCUUCCUUUUGGUCCUCUGACUCCGAAUGCAACCUCAUUCAUUCAUUCAUUCAUUCAUUUGGUCAGUAUUUGGAGUGCUGUUGAUAGGGGUGGGGUCAUAUAGCCCUCACAUCUAGGUAAGUAGCCCCAACACAGCAAUAGGUGAAAUUUAAAAAAACACAACCUGAUUAAAUUCCAAAGUGGAAAGUCUAUACCAGUGUUUUUUAAACUAAUUCCCCAUGAAAAUCACUCGGGAAACUUUUAAAAAAUACACAUUCCCAAGGUUCAGGCCAGAAUCAGAAUCUCUAAUUUUUAGCUUUAAAAAAAUGUUACAAACUUCGCAGGAAAUUUUUAUGUAGCUUGCCCAGUACUGCACUGUGAAUUGGUGUUCAGAAAAUAUGGUAGAUGAGAGACCACCUCUGUGAAGUUGAGGAUGUAGUGAUAUCUGACUAGCGGAGUUGUCAUGCUCACCUAGCAUGCUAAUGAGGACAGUGUCAGAGGAGAGAGCUGGCCCUAGGCACCAGACAGACACAGAGAGCCAUUUACUUACUCUUGCAGAUUCCAAAAGUCAAGACUCAAAAAUCGCACUUCUUCUCUCAAUGCCUGGAAGUGAUGAUUGAGACCUGUUGUACUUUUAUUUGGUGCUAGGGGCUACUGUGGAACUUCAGUCUCCAUACUUGCCUGUUAAAGUUCCUUCUGUUUUCCUUUUUACCCAAAUUCACUUGUGUAGGGCAAUGAUACUACAAGAGCAGUGCUCUAACCCCUGAGCUAUGGAGCCCCUGCCUGGGCAAUGAUAUAAAAGACUGGCCUCAAAGCUGUGGCAGACUCUCGAAAAUUAUUGGAAAAUAACUCAAUAAUAACAACACAGUCCUACUUCAAACCCUGUGUUCCCUAAGAGUGCUUUAUUCCCUCAAAGUAUUUUCAAAGUAUCUGUCAUUGCUUUGGGGUAGGCUUUUAUCACUAGCAUCUUCAUAGCUGACACUUCAUUUCUGGCCUUUUGGCUUUUUUGUAUGUUUAGUCAUACAUGCAGGUCAUACCACCAUAGCAACUCACUCAAAAUAACUCACUUAGGGUGACUGCACAGAGAGUCUCUCUCAGCUAUUUUAGUAAUAACACAAUAGCAACCCACGUUAGUGCAGCUGGGCUCCUUAAAUAUUCCUUCCUAAGUCAUGUAGUACACAUUUUAGAAGCCACAUUAAAGUACCAAAAUUACCCACAAACCGUUUAUUGCUACAGUUCACUCCCGUAUUUUCUUCUCAACCUGUGGGUAAAGAAAGACAUAGAUAAAUUCAUCUGAUGCUUUAAAGUGGCAGAGCUAUAAAUAUCUGAUUUUUCUCUGUGUUUUGAAAAAUUGAAUAGUCAUAGAAAAUUCUUAUAACAGUAUUUACAUAAGUGAGCACUUCCUCUUUCCUUUCUUCCCCCUCGCUCUCCGUAUCCUUCCUCCUUCCUCCCCUCCCCCUUUCCUUCCUUCCUUUUUUCCUUCCUUCUUUCCUCUCUUUCUUUACUAAAUAUCCAUAUUAUGCUAGGUAUUGUUUUAGAUUCCAAGCCAGACACAAAGGUAAACAAAAUAUAGUCAUUGCUCUCAAAUGUCUCACAGCCUUCUGAAUCUUUUGAAGAGGAAAACCUGAGAAUUAUAUAAAAUUGUUUCAUUAACAUAAGAGAAUCUGAAGAUGGCACAGAAUGUUUUGGGGGAUGCUUCCUUGAUUCCUAGUUCCUUUCUCUGUAGAUUCUUCCUGUUCAAGGCACAGGCGUAGACAGUCAUGAGAUGCCUGGGUCAGAAACAUAAGACUUUAAUACUCACAGCAAUAGCAGUAGGCAGAGUAUCAGCAGUUGUUCAUAUCUGUCCUGAGCCCCAAUUUCCAUAGGGCGUGUGAAGAAGGCCAGAUGACACUUAUUCACAUAGUGACUUGCAUUAUAGGAGGAGAUCCCUGAGCUCAGAGAACCCAAAUCUUUCAUGAUGGGCAGUAAGUUUGCCUGCCCUUUUCUCCAACAGCAGGUAUUAAUUCUGUUUUUCAAGGCUGGUCACUAUACAUGGAGAAUUCUUUCCCAAUCCUCUUGCCUCUUACCUUUCUUUUUGUUUGUUUGUUUCUUUCUUUCUUUCUUUUUCUUUCUUUCCUUCUUUCUUUCUUUCUUCCUUCCUUUCUUUCUUUCUUUUUUUUUUUUUUUUUUUUUGAGACGGAGUCUCACUGUUGCCCAGGCUGUAGUGUAGUGGCGUGAUCUUAG